UACGUAGGGGGCGAGCGUUGUCCGGAUUUAUUGGGCGUAAAGAGCUCGUAGGCGGCUUGGCAAGUCGGGUGUGAAGCCUCCAGGCUCAACCUGGAGACGCCACUCGAUACUGCUAUGGCUAGAGUCCGGUAGGGGACCACGGAAUUCCUGGUGUAGCGGUGAAAUGCGCAGAUAUCAGGAGGAACACCGGUGGCGAAGGCGGUGGUCUGGGCCGGCACUGACGCUGAGGAGCGAAAGCGUGGGUAGCAAACAGG
rnacentral:rRNA from 1 species